CCUACGGGCGGCUGCAGUGGGGAAUAUUGGGCAAUGGGCGCAAGCCUGACCCAGCAACGCCGCGUGAAGGAAGAAGGCUUUCGGGUUGUAAACUUCUUUUGACAGGGAAGAGCAGAAGACGGUACCUGUCGAAUAAGCCACGGCUAACUACGUGCCAGCAGCCGCGGUAAUACGUAGGUGGCAAGCGUUGUCCGGAUUUACUGGGUGUAAAGGGCGUGUAGCCGGGCUGACAAGUCAGAUGUGAAAUCCGGGGGCUCAACCCCCGAACUGCAUUUGAAACUGUUGGUCUUGAGUAUCGGAGAGGCAGGCGGAAUUCCGAGUGUAGCGGUGAAAUGCGGAGAUAUUAGGAGGAACACCAGUGGCGAAGGCAGCCUGCUGGACGACAACUGACGGUGAGGCGCGAAAGCGUGGGGAGCAAACAGGAUUAGAUACCCUAGUAGUC
rnacentral:rRNA from 1 species